rnacentral:rRNA from 1 species
AUUGAACGCUGGCGGCAUGCCUUACACAUGCAAGUCGAACGGUCACGGGCCUUCGGGUGCCGCCGAGUGGCGAACGGGUGCGUAAUACAUCGGAACGUGCCCGAUCGUGGGGGAUAACGAGGCGAAAGCUUUGCUAAUACCGCAUACGAUCUACGGAUGAAAGCCGGGGACCGCAAGGCCUUGCGCGGACGGAGCGGCCGCUGGCAGAUUAGGUAGUUGGUGGGAUAAAAGCUUACCAAGCCGACGAUCUGUAGCUGGUCUGAGAGGAUGAUCAGCCACACUGGGACUGAGACACGGCCCAGACUCCUACGGGAGGCAGCAGUGGGGAAUUUUGGACAAUGGGCGCAAGCCUGAUCCAGCCAUGCCGCGUGCAGGAUGAAGGCCUUCGGGUUGUAAACUGCUGUUGUACGGAAAGAAAAGCCUUCUUUUAAUACAGGAGGGUCAUGACGGUACCGGAAGAAUAAGCACCGGCUAACUACGUG